GACGGGUAGGUGAGCUCAUGGGCUCAACCUGAAAAAAAUUCUUAGCACUGGCCCUAGCAAGAGCAGCGCCUCGCAGAAUCUACCGAUCGAAAUCGCGACCCACUGAGAAGAUUAGAUGAGAAAUUCAGGGGGCUGUGUCUAUGACCUACGGUCUUUGUAGACAGCCUUUGUGACGGGUUACAUUCGCUGCUUAUAAAAAAAUACGUCACAUUUCCUUAUUAUUAUCAAACGAUCAAAAUACGUAAAUAACAAAAAAAAACACGGACAUCAAGCGUUUUAAUAUCGUUCGAAAUAAGUAGAUGCGUCAGUAAGGAAUGUCCGAUGCCUUCUAAUGACGUCGAAUUGUGCUCGCACACCUCAAUCUCAAACGUCCGAAAAGAAAUUCUCAGAGAGGAAAAUUCUUGUUAAAUUAAAAUAUUUAUUCAGCACUACGACGAGAAUUUAUCCCAAAUUAAAAACGACAUAUUUGUGAAACCAAUAAUGGAAUGAACUGUGCAUAGUUUGUUAGACGAGUUGCAACUACCUUUUAUUUUGCAAUCGCUCCUGUGAAGAAAAUAGAAAUUGGAAUCGAAUGGGUAGAACAUUAAUAAAAUAUCAAUAUAACUAAUUAAACUGAA